AGAGUUUGAUCCUGGCUCAGGAUGAACGCUAGCGGCAGGCUUAACACAUGCAAGUCGAGGGGCAGCGUGGAGUAGCAAUACUCUGACGGCGACCGGCGGAAGGGUGCGUAACACGUGAGCGACUUGCCCGAUACAGGGAGAUAACCGGUGGAAACGCCGACUAAUAUCCCAUACGACUUGAGGCUGCAUGGCCUUGAGUUGAAAGGUUCGCCGGUAUCGGAUAGGCUCGCGGGACAUUAGCUUGAUGGCGGGGCAACGGCCCACCAUGGCGACGAUGUCUAGGGGUUCUGAGAGGAAGACCCCCCACACUGGGACUGAGACACGGCCCAGACUCCUACGGGAGGCAGCAGUGAGGAAUAUUGGUCAAUGGGCGGAAGCCUGAACCAGCCAUGCCGCGUGAAGGACUAAGGCCCUAUGGGUCGUAAACUUCUUUAGACGCAGAGCAAUAAGGGCCUCGCGAGGUCCGAUGAGAGUAUGCGUAGAAUAAGCAUCGGCUAACUCCGUGCCAGCAGCCGCGGUAAUACGGGGGAUGCGAGCGUUAUCCGGAUUUAUUGGGUUUAAAGGGUGCGUAGGCGGCGAAUUAAGUCAGCGGUGAAAGACCGGGGCUCAACCCUGGAAGUGCCGUUGAUACUGAUUGGCUAGAAUACCCUUGCCGUGGGAGGAAUGAGUGGUGUAGCGGUGAAAUGCAUAGAUAUCACUCAGAACACCGAUUGCGAAGGCAUCUCACGAAGGGGCGAUUGACGCUGAGGCACGAAAGCGUGGGGAUCGAACAGGAUUAGAUACCCUGGUAGUCCACGCAGUAAACGAUGAUGGCUAACUGUCGGGUUUUAGGAUUCGGCGGCCAAGCGAAAGCGAUAAGCCAUCCACCUGGGGAGUACGACCGCAAGGUUGAAACUCAAAGGAAUUGACGGGGGCC
rnacentral:rRNA from 1 species